rnacentral:rRNA from 1 species
UACGUAGGAGACUAGCGUUGUCCGGAAUUACUGGGUGUAAAGCGCGUGUAGGCGGCAUACCAAGUCUGUUGUGAAAUCGCCCGGCUCAACUGGGCGGGGUCAAUGGAAACUGGUAAGCUGGAGGACGGUAGAGGCGAGUGGAAUUCCCGGUGUAGUGGUGAAAUGCGUAGAGAUCGGGAGGAACACCUGUGGCGAAGGCGGCUCGCUGGGCCGAUCCUGACGCUGAGACGCGAAGGCGAGGGGAGCGAACGGG